rnacentral:rRNA from 1 species
ACGGGUGAGUAAUAUAUCGGGACGUGCCCAAUCGUGGGGGAUAACGUAGAGAAAUUUACGCUAAUACCGCAUACGAUCUAAGGAUGAAAGCGGGGGAUCGCAAGACCUCGCGCGAUUGGAGCGGCUGAUAUCAGAUUAGGUUGUUGGUGAGGUAAAAGCUCACCAAGCCGACGAUCUGUAGCUGGUUUGAGAGAACGACCAGCCACACUGGGACUGAGACACGGCCCAGACUCCUACGGGAGGCAGCAGUGGGGAAUUUUGGACAAUGGGCGAAAGCCUGAUCCAGCAAUGCCGCGUGCAGGAAGAAGGCCUUCGGGUUGUAAACUGCUUUUGUACGGAACGAAACGGCCUUUUCUAAUAAAGAGGGCUAAUGACGGUACCGUAAGAAUAAGCACCGGCUAACUACGUGCCAGCAGCCGCGGUAAUACGUAGGGUGCGAGCGUUAAUCGGAAUUACUGGGCGUAAAGCGUGCGCAGGCGGUUAUAUAAGACAGUUGUGAAAUCCCCGGGCUCAACCUGGGAAUUGCAUCUGUGACUGUAUAGCUAGAGUACGGUAGAGGGGGAUGGAAUUCCGCGUGUAGCAGUGAAAUGC